rnacentral:rRNA from 1 species
GAUGAACGCUGGCGGCGUGCCUAAUACAUGCAAGUCGAGCGAACGGACGAGAAGCUUGCUUUUCUGAUGUUAGCGGCGGACGGGUGAGUAACACGUGGAUAACCUACCUAUAAGACUGGGAUAACUUCGGGAAACCGGAGCUAAUACCGGAUAAUAUUUUGAACCGCAUGGUUCAAAAGUGAAAGACGGUCUUGCUGUCACUUAUAGAUGGAUCCGCGCUGCAUUAGCUAGUUGGUAAGGUAACGGCUUACCAAGGCAACGAUGCAUAGCCGACCUGAGAGGGUGAUCGGCCACACUGGAACUGAGACACGGUCCAGACUCCUACGGGAGGCAGCAGUAGGGAAUCUUCCGCAAUGGACGAAAGCCUGACGGAGCAACGCCGCGUGAGUGAUGAAGGUCUUCGGAUCGUAAAACUCUGUUAUUAGGGAAGAACAUAUGUGUAAGUAACUGUGCACAUCUUGACGGUACCUAAUCAGAAAACCACGGCUAACUACGU